GGGUCAGUAGGUUGGUCGUGCCACCGGUACGUACUGGUCUCACUGAUUCCUCCUUCCUGAGGAACCGUAAUGCCAUUAAUUUGGUGUUGCGGGGAAACUGGACUGUUACUUUGAAAAAAUUAGAGUGUCUAAAGCAUGCUAACGCUUGAAUACAUUAGCAUGGAAUAAUGAAAUAGGACGAUCGAUCCUAUUUUGUUGGUUUCUAGGAUUGACGUA
rnacentral:rRNA from 1 species